rnacentral:lncRNA from 1 species
CGGGAUUUCAAGGGGUUCAUCCCGGGGGAUCCGGGCUGUCCAUCCUGCGGGAUCUCAAGGGGUUCAUCCCGGGGGAUCUGGAGUGUCCAUCCUGCGGGAUUUCAAGGGGUUCAUCCCGGGGAUCUGGGCUGUCCAUCCUGCGGGAUCUGAAGGGGUUCAUCCCGGGGGAUCCGGGCUGUCCAUCCUGCGGGAUUUCAAGGGGUUCAUCCCGGGGAUCCGGGCUGUCCAUCCUGCGGGAUCGAGCAGGUCCCUCACAAGGAAUACGGGAGAUCUGUCGCAGGGGGAUGCGGGGUGGGGGUCUGGCCUGAGGAGCUGUGAGGGCUCCAUCCCAGGGCAUCCAGGGCUCCAUCCCAAAGGAUCCAGGCUCCAUCCUGAGCGAUCCGUGUUUCCCAUCGCUGCCGUGUCCCGCAGGAGCAGCAGCAGCGGGAGCAGGAGGCGGCCGAGCGGGAGCGCGGGGGUCGCACCGGGGUCAGCGGGACGGCGGCCGAAGCCGCCAUCCUGGUCUCCCAGCGCACGCAGAACCCCCGGGAAUUCUUCCGGCAGCGGGAGCGCUCGGGGUCCACGUCCACAUCCCCCCUGCCCGGCAGCACCUCCGGUCCCCGCCGGCCCUUCCUGCGGUACCAGCGCAGCCUGACGGAAUCCGCCUUCAUCUUCCGCCGGCCGGAGCCCCCCCCGCCCCCCCCAGCCCGGCGCCUCCAGGGGGGCACCGCCCCCCAGCCCCCGCCGGCCGCCGCCGCCUCUGCCCCCCGGCCCCGCGGGGACAGGGACACCCCAGUGUGCCACCACCGGGACCCCCGCCAGCCCCGUGGGGAGGGGCACCCCUCCCUCUGCCACUCAGGGGACGCCCCCCAGCCCAGCCCGAGCAGGGUCCCCCCAUGCCAGCAGUCCUGUGGGGACGGGGACCCCUCAGC